AAAAUCCGUCGACUUUUAUAAAUCGUGAGGGUUCAAGUCCCUCUAUCCCCA
rnacentral:tRNA from 1 species